AGUCUUGUCUAGACCUAAUAUUUUAACUCGCAUGAUGAAGAGCCAAGUUUUACUUGACUAAAAUGUUUAUUAUCAACUUCUUGUCAGGCUAGGGCUCUUAAAAAAAAAUUCAUCCAACUUUUAUUGGAAAUGUCUGGUUAUGAAAAAGAAUUCUGAAACUGGAUUCUAGGCUAAUGAAAGAUUUUAAAGUUAGUUAGAAUCUAAUCUAGAUCUAGAUCUAAAUGUGAAAUAAAACUGAAGUAAAAAUGGAUACAUACAGUAUGUCAACAGUCAAUAAACUAGUAGAAAAGACAAACUCAAAAUCACAUCAAAGAAAAUGCAAAUCUUCCAAAUCAAAAGUGAAAAAACAUAAGAAAAUGGAACUUAACAAUAGUUUAGUGUUAAAAGAUCGUGAACUGGACAAAGCUUGGAAAUUAAAAGUUUUUGAUGCUGUUCAAGGAGGUUUUGAUGAUGAUAUAAAAGUAUGGGCUUUAUUUUUAGCCUGGGGUAGAGAACGUUUUUUCCAUCUACUUGGUGUCAUCAGUCUUUUGAUCUGCACAAUUCUGUUUGUGUUACAGGCCUACCUAGCGUUUAGAUCUUAUCAAAUCAUGCAUCAGCUGAAUGCCAAGCCCCCCAUACCAGAAAUGCUGUACAACAUUUACUUUGAUGGUCAUGAUUGGGCCUUUAACAUGGACAAAGUGGAUUUACGUGCAAACACUACUUUGUUUAUUCAUUGAAGUUAACAAAGAUUAACUAUUGCAUGAUGAAUUUUAUUUUAACAGCUAAUCUAAUGCUGCAUUUAUCUUUUGUAAAUUACUUGCUUUAUAAAGAAAGUAUUUAUUAGAACACAUGAAAAGAAAGCCAGUAAACUUACAGGCUGUGUUUUAUUUAUUAAUAUUUUUUUUGCAUUUAAACAUCGUAUUAAGAUUUUGUACAGUUGAUGUAUACUUUAUCUAAAAAAAAGUUAACUAAAAUUCUAAUGAUUUAGUGUAGACUUAAUAAAGAUUUUUCUGCAGUUAAAUAGUAAACUUGAAAGUCAAUGUUUUUACAACUCUUAAGGCAUUAAAGUAAAGUAAUUAAGAAAUGUGUUUACCUGCAAGAAUAAUUAUACGCAGCAGUUAUGUCAUUGACCUAAGUUGCUUUCUCACUUGAUGGUAAUGCUUUUCCUAAUGAGAUGAACUUAAUUGUUGCAAACAUCAUGUUAUUGAAGUGUUACACAACUCUAGCCUUGUGCCUUUGUGAACACAUAUUCAUUAAAGAUUUAUUUUGCCACUGGGUAUUUUUAAAUUCUUUCAAAUUUAACCUAUCAAAAAUAUUAUAAUUUCUGUUGCUCUUAUAUAAGUUAAUUUUAUGUAUUUUUCAAAUUAUUUUAAUGAUCUUUUUUAAUGUGAUUCUGUUUACAUUACAAAACAAAUUACUUUAGUCAACUUUUGUUGGCUGUUUCUACCUAGUUUGUUGUAACCAAUUGUUAUUUAAGAAAAGUUUUUAUUUUAUCUGUAUUUAAUUCAUAUUUUAUUCUAAUUUUAAAGAAUAUAACAUACCCUAGUCUAAUCUAGUAGCUGUGUGUUUGUAUUUGCAUAAUUCCAUCAUCUUUUUUUAGAUAGGAAAAUGAGUUUAAUAUCAGUUUUACCCCUAUGCCAGAUAGCCAGUGCAUUGUUUGUUUAUGGGGAAAAAAGUUAGUGAAGUUUGAGAGCGUGCCAUGUAAUAAAAGAAGCUUUUUGGUCUUCUUGAUUUUCUCAUGCACUUGAUUUAUUUAUUCUGACGCACUUGUCCUUUUUUUAAAUCUCAACUAAAAUUAUCAACAGUUCCGAACAGAAGGACUCUUAAAUCUCAUGUGACUCACCGAAACUAGUGGAGCAGCCAAAACAGUGACUAUAUCCACACAUAUGUGAACUGAAGUGUUAUUUAAUUGAUGUUGCAAAUAUUUCAUGACAUGGUGGGAUCACUUGACAAAGUCUCAACACAUUACAGUUGGUGUUCCAUUUUUUUCAUAGUUAGCUUGAGUUAUAUUUAGUAUUAGUAAUGUCAAUUUCAUUGUUGAGGGUUUUUUUUUUAAAAAAAAAAGCAAAUCUAUCAUUUUGACAUAAGGGUGUCAUCAACUUAUGCUGUCUACCAAAAAGUGGACAUUUAGACCUUUCUGGAAAAUCUGUUAUCAAAUAUUAAAAGUAGAUUUUAGAAUGUGCUGUAAAGAAUUUAAGAAAAUAUUUUAACUGUUAUACAAUGUAUGAGAGUUAUAUAUAUUCCAUAUGAAAAACUGUUGCAUAGUAGUGAAGAUUUAUCUUUUGUAACUUAUGUAAAGAAAAAUUUUCAAAGUAUUAUUUCUGUUGUUGUACACAGAGGUACUAAUUUGUAUUACUAUAGCUUUGAUAACCUGCUGAGCUGGGUUAAUUUUUUAAAAGUACAGCCAUUUAAAUGUGUACAUUUUGUAUGCAGAUUGCAUGUUAGUUUCUAGUAGCAAAUCAAAUAUUUUGUUGUAAAACUCACUGUGUGGGUGGAUUUCCACAUGGACCUAACCACCCAGUCUACACAAAUAGACAUCUUAAAAGGGGAGUCCCUUCAAUUUUUAAUACUGCACUAACAAAAAGAAAUAUUAUGCAUUGAAAUGUUUUUCUUUUCUAAGUUUUGUUUGUUACUUAGUGAGUAAAUUAUGGGAUGGCAUGACCACAUUACCCCUUUUGUAUGCCGAGGUAACAGAAACAGGUUAACUCUACUUCCGUUGCCCAAAUUCAAAAAGGGAAUUUUACUUAAUUGGAAGAAAAAGUUUAAGACCAUUUAAAGAAAUUUUAAUAUUUAAACUACAAAAUAAACAGACCUUCAUGCAGAAAUUAGACAUGUUUUGUAUGCUAAGAAAAAAACAGUUGUAACUAUUUCUUUAAAAGUUCUUUCAAAUUUGUUUAUAUGAUGCUAUUUUUCAGAAUUGUUUUUUGAAAUGCUAUUAAUACCAGCUCCAAAAAAAUAUCAAUUACUAGCUAUUUUAUUGUUAGCAGUAAAACCAGUACUACAAUGUAAUGCAUCUUUUUGUUUUAACUAUUUAUGUGACACAAUCAAAAUAUGUCAGGUUUGUUCACAAUGUUGGCCACAUUCAGGGGUAGUCAAAUAUGUGUCUGCCGCAUUUUCUUGUGAAACACCUGCUUGGAUGUUAAUUUUACUUUGAAACUGUUGCUGCUAAAUGUUAGUUGCACAGUAAAUAGCAUACACUAGGCAUACAGAUGCUUCAGUUAGUGAAGUAACACGGAGGUCUGUAUAUGUAAAUAUGUGGACAUAAAUAUAAGAGUAUGGUUGAAUUGUUGAUAAAUCAUUGAUGUUUAUUUUUAUAAGGAUUGGAUAUCUUGUGGCUAUCUGAACCUCAUUCCAUUAUUUUUAACAAAGUUAUAAUUACUGCUGCAUUGUUUCAGAGCAGUCUUUCAUGUUGAUAGCAUAGAUUCAUUUGAUGAGACAUUAAAUAAAAACUAGUAUCAGCUCCAAGAAUAUCUGAUUGAGAUUGUCAUUGAAUUCACUAAAAAUAAUUUGUUUAUAAAAAUGUUGCAUCUGUUAAUGUAGAGGCAAUCGUUCUUUGUAUCAGAAUAGAUGCAUAGUUUAAACAUACAGUUAAAGAAUCAACCGCAGAUACUUUAACAUUCUUCUCUGUCUUUGACAUUGUGCUACACAAUUUUAAAA